GAUGAACGCUGGCGGCGUGCUUAACACAUGCAAGUCGAGCGGAGAUGUUUAAAAGCUUGCUUUAAAACAUCUUAGCGGCGGACGGGUGAGUAACGUGUGGGUAACCUGCCUUAUACUGUGGAAUAAUCACUUGAAAAGGUGACUAAUACCGCAUGUGGUCUCCGGAGGGCAUCCUCUGGAGAAGAAAGGAUUUAUUCGGUAUAAGAUGGACCCGCAUCUGAUUAGCUAGUUGGUGAGAUAAUAGCCCACCAAGGCAACGAUCAGUAGCCGACCUGAGAGGGUGAUCGGCCACAUUGGGACUGAGACACGGCCCAAACUCCUACGGGAGGCAGCAGUGGGGAAUAUUGCACAAUGGGGGAAACCCUGAUGCAGCAACGCCGCGUGAAGGAAGAAGGGUUUCGGCUCGUAAACUUCUAUCAAUAGGGAUGAAAAAAAUGACAGUACCUAAAUAAGAAGCCCCGGCUAACUACGUG
rnacentral:rRNA from 1 species